GAAACGUGAUUGUGAAGCGAUGAAACUUUUUUCUUUUAAACCAAAAAUUUAUUUAUUGUUGAAUUCUUAAUAAAGAAACGAAAUUUUUUCCCUUAAUUUAAUAAACGAAAAGACACAUUUUCCAAUUCAAUUGACAAACGAAACAGGUUUUUUGUUUAAUUGCAUUUUUUCGUUCACGCUAACAACCAAAAAACACAUUUUAUGGAUUAAUUAAAAAAGAGAUUUUUUGUUGUUCAAUUUGCUACAAAAUGGUUAUUUUUAUCGUUGCUAUCCACUUUUCCUGGCACACCCAAUCAGGGCAUGAGUUCAGGCAAACUUUAGUCCCGCAGAAAGUACGAAAAAGUGUGUGAAGUUAAAAAUCCAUUCGAUCCAGUAUUUUUUGAUAAAUUUCGAUAAUUUAAUCGUCAAUAUUUUCAGCAAUUUUUCGUCCAACUCUCGCUUCUGGUGAUCCUUCAAUUUCGUGACCCGAAUUUCCGAAGGAACGAGAAAUAAAAGGGGGCCAAAAUGAUGGAGAAUUGGGUGUCUGAUUAAAUGUGGAUCGAGGUACGAGAAUGUUAAUCCCGUAACAUCGCCACCGAAGCCUCCUGUAUUGGUACCUUUUAUUGUUGGGUACCGAGAGCGAGGACGUACAAGAAGAUUUGCAAUAUUCGUAACUAAGGAGCUGCGGAGUUCUUGGAGCAAAUAUGCCUCGAACAGAAUUUCGCGAUUCUGUCGGUAGCACGCCGCCGCCAACGGAGCUGAGAUACGUCUGAGAGCACGAGGAUUUUCAUGGCGAAUCGACGAAUCCCAUCAAAUUUAUUCGCAUCAAAAUAAAAAUGGAAAAAUCCCUAA